ensembl:misc_RNA
UUCCCAAUGCUGGAAGAUAGUCUUCUGUUUAUCCACAGGACAGUUACAGCAUGGGGCAGCAACAAUGCAGGCUUCCCCUUUCUGCCCCACCAGUAUGCUCCAAUCAUUUUUUGAAGGGACCAUUUCCAGAGAGUAAAAGAUUCAGAUCCCACGCUCAUUCAAUUUAUAUCCUCU